UACGUAGGGGGCAAGCGUUGUCCGGAAUCAUUGGGCGUAAAGAGCGUGUAGGCGGUCCGGUCAGUCGGUUGUGAAAGUCAAGGGCUCAACCCUUGAAUGCCGGCCGAAACUGCCGGGCUAGAGUCCGGAAGAGGUGAGUGGAAUUCCUGGUGUAGCGGUGAAAUGCGCAGAUAUCAGGAGGAACACCAGUGGCGAAGGCAGGCUC
rnacentral:rRNA from 1 species